CUCUAGUUGCAGUAGAGUUAGAUAAACAACAUUUGUGUGCAUCCAUGAUGUCAGUAACUGUCAUAUAUACUUUGACAGAUGGUACUAUGAAAAAUACCAUUACCGCAUCUGACCAAUGGUCUGGAUGGAGGGAUAGUAAAUAGAAAAUCUAUAUGUUGGGGGUUUUCUGGCUAGCUAAAAAUCUAUUAUAAUGGCAAAACCAGCAGGUGGCCCUAGUGAGAGAGAUCAGCAUGCAGGGAUGGAUGAGGACUAAUUUUGUGUGUAUGACAAUUGACUAUCUUUGCAUGUAUUGCUCUAUGUUAGGGAUCUUUUGUUCCAUUUUAGUAACAAUUUUGUUUAGGAGAAAAAGAAACAUAUUGCAGUUCAUGCUUUGUAAAUGCCACUAUUAUGUUAUGAUGGACACGUGGUAUGCCCUUGUUGGGUAGGUUUUGGAUUGAAACCAUGGUCGAGUGCUUGAGCCAUGUUUAGUGUGAAGCUUGAAUGGAUUUUCUUUUCUGUUGUAUUUGGCCCUUGUCUUUUCAAGCAUGCCAAAAAUCAUCCUAGUUUUGUAAUAUGUGGUUUGUGUCCAAUUAAUUUACUGUGGACCUUGCAUUUUUGUA